rnacentral:rRNA from 1 species
CAGCAGCCGCGGUAAUACGUAGGGGGCUAGCGUUGUUCGGAAUUACUGGGCGUAAAGCGCACGUAGGCGGAUAUUUAAGUCAGGGGUGAAAUCCCAGAGCUCAACUCUGGAACUGCCUUUGAUACUGGGUAUCUUGAGUAUGGAAGAGGUGAGUGGAAUUCCGAGUGUAGAGGUGAAAUUCGUAGAUAUUCGGAGGAACACCAGUGGCGAAGGCGGCUCACUGGUCCAUUACUGACGCUGAGGUGCGAAAGCGUGGGGAGCAAACAGGAUUAGAUACCCGCGUAGUCCCUGUCUCUUAUAC